rnacentral:tRNA from 1 species
GGGCGCGUAGCUCAGGUGGUAGAGCAGCUGACUUUUAAUCAGCGGGUCGCAGGUUCGAGUCCUGCCGCGCUCA